rnacentral:lncRNA from 1 species
CUGGUUAGUUUUUUGUAGUUUUAGUAGAGACGGGUUUUUGCCAUGUUGGUCAGGCUGGUUUCAAACUCCUGGCCUGAGGUGGUCCACCAGCCUCAGCCUCCCAAAGUUCUGGGAUUACAGGCAUGAGCCGCUGUGCUUGGCCCCACAUAUGCUAUUUCUAAAUCACAUCUCCUCUUUGUUUACUACAUGUGGAGCAGACUUUAAAUCACUGCUCGACGAAGUCAAUGAUGUUCACAUACGUAGAAGUUUCUCAAUGCUGCCUGCUUUAUAUUCAGAUUAUGUUGAUUUUCCUCCAAAUGACAAAUCUGAAUUACAGAUAAUUUAGUAAUUGGUGUUUAAUACUUACAAAUACGUAAAGCAACAAACUGGAAUAAAACCAAGGGAUGCUUUGUGGAAGUACUUGAGAAUGGAUGUUGAUGUCUUUUCAAAGAUAACUCCGCUAAAUGGUAGUACCUGUAGUCUGUGAUGCAGACGUGGCUGAUAACUUAACAAAUGUCUUCGUGUCUGCGGCUCAGCUGUGCUGUUGUCCCAGGUGCCCCACCUUGGCUGGCAUAUCUCCCAGGCCAGCACUCUUGUGACUCUGCCCCCUACAUGCUGGGGAGUCUCUAUCUCUCUCUGGGACAGCCAACCACCUGUCAGACAACAUCAUCUGUCAAUCUCCUAAUCUUCAAACUCUACAUGUCAAAACAGAAGUCGUUUUCCCACUAAACCUAAACCAGCACCUUCUGAAUUCCUUUUAUGAGAUGAUGGCCCCACUCUUCACCCUACUGCCCAACGCAGGAACUGCAGAAAUCCAUCUUGACCCUUCUUCUCCCCAUACAGGGGAGCGUGAUGUUUCAGAGCAAAGGCUCUGAAGAAAACAGCUCCAUUCACGAGAGAAAGCAGUACUAAUUUUAACCAUAGAAGUACAAGACAUAUUCUGAUAUUAUACAACAUUGCUGAGAGAAAUUAAAGAUCAAAAUAAAUGGAGAGGCAUUCCAUGUUUAUAAAUCGGAAGACCCAAUACUGUUAAGAUGGCAGUUCUUCCUUGACUCAUCUAUAGAUUCAAAACAUUCCCUAUGGAAACCCCAGCAGGCCUUUUUGCAAAAACUGACAACCAGACCUUGUAAGUUAUACAGAAAUGCAGAGGACCCAGAUUAGCCAAAAUAAUGUCAAAAAGAAUGGAGAAUGUAUACGUCCCAAUUUCAAAAUUUAAAUAACUCUUACAUAUAUGUUCAGUUGAUUUUUGACAGGGACACAGUGGGGAAAAGCAGUCCUUUUAACACAUGGUGCUAAGACCACUGAAUAUCCAUAGGAAUUUAGAUCUUUACCUCAUACCAUAUAUAAAAAUUAAUUUAAAACAGCUCACAGGCCCAAAUUUAAGAGCUAAAACUAUAAAACUUCCAGAACAAAACAUAGGAGAAAAUCUUUGUGACCUUUAGUUAAGCAGAGAGAGAUACAGUACUAAAAGCAUAACUCGUAUAAGGAAACUAAUACAUUAGGCUUCAUUAAAAUUAAAAACAAGUGCAUUUCAAAAGACACCAUUAGGAAAAGAUAAGCCACAGACUGGGAGAAAAUAUUUGCAAAUCAUGUCUUAAAAGGACUUGUAUCCAGAAUAUAUUAAGAACUCUUACUAUUUAAUAAGAAAAAAAACCCAACUGAAAAGUGAGCAAAAGAUUUAAAUAGACAUUUCACCAAAGGUAUAUAAACGGCCCAUAAGCACAUGAAAAAUGCUCAUCAUUAGCUAUCAAGGAAAUGUAAAUCAAAGCCACAAUGAGUUACCACUUCACAUCCACAAGGAUGGCUAUAAUUUUAAAAGACACAUAAUCACAAGUGUUGGUGAGGACGUGGAGAUAUCAGAACCCUCCUACAUUGCUGGUGCAAAUGUAAAAUGGUGCAGCUUCUUUGGAAAACAGUCUGGCAAUUUCCUAAAAAGUUAAACAUAUGUCUGCACAAACACUUGUACACAAAUGGUCACAGCAGCAUGAAAACAAUCUACAUGUCUAUCAACUGGUGAAUGAACAAACAAAAUCUGACACAGCCAUACAAUGGAACAGCAUUCAGCCCAGCAAUAAAAAGGAAAGCAAUUACUGAUAGAUGCCACUACAGGGAGGAACUUCAGAAACAUUACUGAGUGAAAGAAGCCAGACACAAAAGACCAUGUCUGAUUCCAUUUAUAGGAAAUGUUCAGAAAUGGCAAACCUGAAGGACAGAAAGCCGAUCAGUUGCUGUGUGGAAAUGGAAAUGGGGCUUAAUUGCAAACUGGAAUAAGAUUUUUUUUUUUUUUGAGUUGUUCUAACAUUGGUUGUGAUAGUUGCACAACUCUAUAAACUUACUGAACAACCAUCUAAGUAUAAACCUAAAAUGGGUAAAUUUUGUGGCAGGUAAAUUGUAUCUCCUUAAAACUGUUAGGGGAGAGAGGGAGGCACAGGCUCUUCAUUCAGAGUACCAGGGUCCCAGUCCUCGCCCUUUUACUUAUCCACUCUGUCGCUUGGGGCAAGUUAAACUUUGUGCCUUAGUUUUCUCGUCUGUAAACUGGCAAUUAUAGUAGUACAUACUUCGUUAUUGUGAGGAUUAAAUCGGUUAAUACCAGUAAAACGUCUAGCAGAGUGCCAAACACACAGCAAGCAUUCAGUGUUAGCUGUUGUCUCAUUAUGACCAUUCGGAUUACACGCAUCCAGUUGUCUUGCCAGUUUCCCUUGGUAAUUAGUUCUCAAUCACCUUUUCUUCAUACCUUCUUCCCUGGCCUUAAGCUCUGUGCCACCUUUUAGAUGAAAGGCUUGUCCUGUCUCCCUCACUGCCCCCAGGCCUGUUCCCUCACAUUUCACUUCCACAGCAUGGAGGGACCACACCAGGUCAAAACCAACUACAGGAUCAAGUUCAACUGCACACAACUCCCUCCACCAUCCUGUCUCUGUGGAGCCCGUCACCCCUGUCCACCCCCAUGCCUACCCCACAUACACAUCACAGUGGCAAAUUUCCUCACACAUCCCAUGCAGCUGCUCUUGCCAUCGGUCCCCUCUGCAGAAUGCCCUGCUCUCUCCCCCUCUUGUCUUUCUAUAUGCUUGUCCUGUCAGGCUCAGCUGAGACAAAUCCUUCAUAAGACUUCCCUGAACCUCUUGGGCUGGGAUCACUAGUUGGCCUUUAUAUUUGUCCAUAAUAUGCCUGUAAUAGCCUGGGCAUAUCUCCAACACUGAUUGACAGAUUACAAAACACACUGUCAGAUUAGAACACACAUCUCACAUCUGGAAGCAUGAAUCCAGCACAAUGCAGGUGCUCGACAGAAUGUUAGCUGGCCAAAUGAAGGACCAGACAGGCAGCGCUUUCUCAGCUCCUCAUAUACUGAAAAUGCUCACAGACUUCCAAACAGCUUAGGACUUUGUCUAGGAACAUGGAAAUCUUAGGGAGACUCUCCCUCUGUUGAGGAGCACUGCAAGCAGCACCUGAGUGGAAGGACAGGGCCUGCCGUCUUCCGUUUGAUGCCGUAACUGUCAGCAGUUCAGGAGCAUUUGCAGAGAUGGCUGGUAAUGUUAAUUUUGCUGGUGGAAUAUUUCCUAACUUGCCCAACAUCCGAGUUUCUAAACUCUGAAACUCUUGAUUAAGAAUCUUUGAGAUAUCUCAUAGCGGGAAUAUAAGACAAUCAACUUCAGAGGGAUGUAACAGCUUAAUGACUGAACUUUAAAUUAUGGGGGAAAAUACAAUAAUCUGAUGUCUGGGUUCCAUCCAAGAUAUUCUGAUUUAAGUGGUCUGGGAUAUAACCUAUGCAGAAAAUUUUUUUAAAGUUCACUCAGUAAUUCUAAAGAAUUAUAGUGACCCAGCAAGGGUCAAGAUCUGCUCUUAUAUUAGUUCCUCUGUCAUUUUCUCAUGUAUAAAUGGUAGCAGUUAUGCUUAGAUUUAUGGAUAACUGAAAGUCCUUCUGAAAAUAAAAUGCAUAAAUGUUAAUCAGAUUCCUUUUUCCUAUUCUCACGACUUUGGGUCAUCUUAAAAGUUUGGGCUGGGCACAGUGGCUCACACCUGUAAUCCCAGCACUUUGGGAGGCCGAGGCAGGUGGAUCACUUGAGGUCAGGAGUUUGAGACCAGCCUGGCCAACAUGGUGAAACCCUGUCUCUACUAAAAAUACAAAAAAAAAAAAAAAAAAAAAAAAAGCCAGGUGUGGUGGUGGGCACCUUUAAUCCCAGCUACCUGGGAGGCUGAGACAGGAGAAUCGCUUGAACUUGGGAGGCAGAGGCUGCAGUGAGCUGAGAUCUCCCCACUGUACUCCAGUCUGGGUGAGAGAGUGAAACCCCAUCUCAAAAAAAAAAAAAAAAAAAAAAAGUUUCACUUCUUAAAAUCCACUUGGCCAAAAAGCAUUAAUACCCACAUUAGAUACAGACAUUUAAAAUCCAUUAAAGAACAAUUUAAAAGACAAAAAAUAAAAGAAAUCCUAAAACCAUAACCAAGAAUAAUCUCCAAUCCAGAAGAUGAAGCUGCAGGUCCUCCGUGAAGAGAUCCUACUCGUAGACAUGGCAUGCUUUUCUCGCACCAUGACAGUGAAGAGAAAGGGGUUUCAGCACCAUGCUGACCAGGUGUCUGUUCUUGUGCUUGCAUCCUAAGGGAACCCGAGGGAGAGACCUGAAGUGACUGCAACUAUGAAAGUCUACUUGAGAGUCCCACUGAGUAUGGCGAAAUUUGUAAAUUUCGGCAUCUUCUUCCGAAAUGGAAUCUUCUUAAAAUGGAAAAAGAAAGUUGAAACAAUCGCAUCCUAUAAACAUGUAUUUUUCUGCUCCAGAGCUGUCCUCUUGGUUGAAUCUCUUUUCACUUUUUUGAGACGGAGUCUUGCUCUGUUGCCAGGCUGGAGUGCAGUGGCGUGAUGUCGGCUCACCGCAACCUCUGACUCCCUGGUUCAAGCGAUUCUCCUGCCUCAGCCUCCCGAGUAGCUGGGAUUACAGGCACAUGCCACUACGCCU